UGGGCUCCAUUUCAGAUACAGAUAUGCUGGAUUGAUUGGGGAGGCGGAUAUUGUAACAGGACUGGGCUCAGCUUCUAAGGGCAGCAAGCUAGUGGAAAGCCAAAGAUAGAAUCUCCGUGGUGCAACCUCAAUAGGAAAACAUCUCACAG